rnacentral:tRNA from 1 species
GGUGCUUUGGCCGAGUGGUUAUGGCGCUGUGUUCAGGUGGAAUCAUCCACAUGAUACAAUUCGCAGUCUCGAAAGAGGCGUGGGUUCGAGUCCCACAGGCAUCA